rnacentral:lncRNA from 10 species
ACUACAUUAGGUUCUGAGCACAAAAUGAAGACAUAGAAUGGUCCUCAACAAGCUGCUGAUGCCCAUAAGAAAGAGGCCUGCAAACAUGUGUAAACAAGUGUGACAAGUUCACCGGCAAGGGGCAGCACAGGGUGGCACUGAACUCAGCCUCGGUAUUGCCCUGACCACAUGGCUGCAUGUGAGCAUGCCAGGUGAGGUGAGCAGGAGAGAUGUUCUAGGCAGCGUUGGAUGAUUCUCUGUCACAUUCCUUUGUGGUCAACUGAAUUGCUCUCUUCAACUGCAGCUUUCACUGAGGCCACUUGAGGUUGCACAACUCCUUCCAGACACAGGUGAGCUCCACAGAGGGAGGAUAUGGACAAGGGGCUAGAUUGGAAGGAAGAUGGAGGAGAGUGAUCCUUACAGCCCUGACAUCGGUCAAGGGAGGCUAAUAGCAGUGACCUUCCCCAUCAAUGUCAUGUGGACUGGACAGCAAUGACCAGGUGAUCCAUUGGUGGGGAAGUGUCCCCACAGGGACAAUGGGGAACAGUCUAUUCAGAAGGGACAAUAUGCUCGUAGCUGAUGCUUUUGGCACCCUGUAACAAAUCCCCUCAGCACACCUAUGAUUUUGUCACAGAUCUGGUAGAGAGUGCAAUGUGGGUUCCCAUGACAAUGCCCUCUUGAAACAUGAAAAAUGCUUCCCUGUUUUUUUGCCUCAAAGCCAUCUCUGAAACUGGGAGCCCAGUCAGCCCCCAAGCAAGUACAACCUGCAAGUAUGGAGAGGUAACGCCCUAGGAGCCAUCUCUAACCAGUGAAGAAUGAGAGCCAGUAAGCAAGUCUAGCCACUCCUCUUUUGGAGGGAACAUUCUAGAAGGCAUUCUGCACACUUGCCAAAGGUCACAGAAGAAUUGAGCCCCUGUUGCCCAAAGCAGCAACCUUAAUGAUGCACACUCAGUGGCUUUUCAUUCUUCCCUGUCUCACUCUCUCCCUUUUCUUUCACCUCUGCUUUUUGGGAUCUCCUCCCAAAUAAACCACCUGCACCAAGUCCUUGUGUCUAGUCUCAGGCUGUGAUUUUAAGGGAGCCCAAACUAAGAGAGCAAUAUUAUUAAAAUUAAAGUUUUGAAAUGAAAAGCAUUUGAAGG